rnacentral:rRNA from 1 species
GGCUCAUUAAAUCAGUUGCGAUCUACUCGGCGUUCCGCGCCGCCGGAUAACCGUAGUAAUUCUAGGGCUAAUACGUGCGAAGCGCCCGAAGCCGCGAGGCGACGGGCGUUCUCGCCGGAUGUAGGAACCGACCCGGGGACCGCCGGGGCAACCCGGCGCCCCCGAGACGGGGCGAACCACGGUGAAAUGACGGAUCGUCGGCCCCGCGCCGGCGACUCGCCGAAUGAGUUUCUGACCUAUCAACUCGAGACGGCGGGGUAGAGGCCCGCCGCGGUAACGCGGGUAACGGGGAAUCAGGGUUCGAUUCCGGAGAGGGAGCCCGAGAAACGGCUACCACUUCCAAGGAAGGCAGCAGGCGCGCAACUUACCCUAAUCUCGAUUCGAGGAGGUAGUGACAAGAAAUACCGAUGCGGGACCCUACGGGUGCCGCGUUCGGAAUGAG